rnacentral:rRNA from 1 species
CCUACGGGGGGCUGCAGUCGAGAAUCUUCGGCAAUGGGCGCAAGCCUGACCGAGCGACGCCGCGUGCGGGAUGAAGGUCUUCGGAUUGUAAACCGCUGUCGGAGGGGAUGAAGUGUACGGGGGCUAUCCCCUGUAUUUGACAGAGCCUCGGAGGAAGCACGGGCUAAGUUCGUGCCAGCAGCCGCGGUAAUACGAACUGUGCGAACGUUAUUCGGAAUCACUGGGCUUAAAGGGUGCGUAGGCGGUUUGUUAAGUCAGGUGUGAAAUCCCCCGGCUCAACCGGGGAACAGCGCUUGAAACUAGCAGACUAGAGUGAGGUAAGGGACCACGGAACUUCUGGUGGAGCGGUGAAAUGUGUAGAUAUCAGAAGGAACGCCGGUGGCGAAAGCGGUGGUCUGGGCCUUGUCUGACGCUGAGGCACGAAAGCUAGGGGAGCGAACGGGCUUAGAUACCCGGGUAGUC